rnacentral:rRNA from 1 species
UGGGGAAUAUUGGACAAUGGGUGAGAGCCUGAUCCAGCCAUGCCGCGUGCAGGAAGAAGGCGUUAUGCGUUGUAAACUGCUUUUUGCCAGGGGAUAAAAAGACCGUGCGCGGUUAAUUGAAGGUACCUGGUGAAUAAGCCACGGCUAACUACGUGCCAGCAGCCGCGGUAAUACGUAGGUGGCAAGCGUUGUCCGGAUUUAUUGGGUUUAAAGGGUGCGUAGGUGGCCCUGUAAGUCAGUGGUGAAAUAUCUCAGCUUAACUGAGAGGGUGCCAUUGAUACUGCAGGGCUUGAGUACAGAUGAGGUAGGCGGAAUUGACGGUGUAGCGGUGAAAUGCAUAGAUAUCGUCAAGAACACCGAUAGCGAAGGCAGCUUACCAAGCUGUAACUGACACUGAGGCACGAAAGUGUGGGGAUCAAACAGGAUUAGAUACCCUAGUAGUCCCUGAGCGGGCUGGCAAGGCGCAU